AGUCGAGCGAAGCACUUUGCUUUGAUUUCUUCGGGAUGAAGAGCUUGGUGACUGAGCGGCGGACGGGUGAGUAACGCGUGGGUAACCUGCCUCAUACAGGGGGAUAACAGUUAGAAAUGACUGCUAAUACCGCAUAAGACCACAGCACCGCAUGGUGCAGGGGUAAAAACUCCGGUGGUAUGAGAUGGACCCGCGUCUGAUUAGUUAGUUGGUGGGGUAACGGCCUACCAAGGCGACGAUCAGUAGCCGACCUGAGAGGGUGACCGGCCACAUUGGGACUGAGACACGGCCCAAACUCCUACGGGAGGCAGCAGUGGGGAAUAUUGCACAAUGGGGGAAACCCUGAUGCAGCGACGCCGCGUGAGCGAAGAAGUAUUUCGGUAUGUAAAGCUCUAUCAGCAGGGAAGAAAAUGACGGUACCUGACUAAGAAGCCCCGGCUAACUACGUGCCAGCAGCCGCGGUAAUACGUAGGGGGCAAGCGUUAUCCGGAUUUACUGGGUGUAAAGGGAGCGUAGACGGGGCAGCAAGUCUGAUGUGAAAACCCGGGGCUCAACCCCGGGACUGCAUUGGAAACUGUUGAUCUGGAGUGCCGGAGAGGUAAGCGGAAUUCCUAGUGUAGCGGUGAAAUGCGUAGAUAUUAGGAGGAACACCAGUGGCGAAGGCGGCUUACUGGACGGUAACUGACGUUGAGGCUCGAAAGCGUGGGGAGCAAACAGGAUUAGAUACCCUGGUAGUCCACGCCGUAAACGAUGACUACUAGGUGUCGGGUGGCAAAGCCAUUCGGUGCCGCAGCCAACGCAAUAAGUAGUCCACCUGGGGAGUACGUUCGCAAGAAUGAAACUCAAAGG
rnacentral:rRNA from 1 species